ACGCCAGGUUGGCCCCUCUCCACUCCUGACGUCAGGGCCAUCUGAGGGGAGGACAUGGCUGUCAGCUGGGAAGAGUGAAAUGGGCAAAGACUGCGUCACGGCUGGAAGGGAUCGUGGCAAGGGCACAGGCAGCAGGAAAGCUGACGGAGUCUCGCCCUGUCGCCCAGGCUGGAGUGCAGUGGCGCCAUCUCGGCUCACUGCAAGCUCCGCCUCCCAGGUUCAUGCCGUUCUCCUGCCUCAGCCUCCCGAGUAGCUGGGACUACAGACCCUCAUCAGAGCUGACAACAUGUCCAGCCUGCACUACUGCAAGAACUUCUUUGUCUAUGGUAGUGUGGUCAACUGAAGAAGCCGGCUUAGUUGCUCCAGUCAGGUGCUCACACUAAGAAAGGAUGGGUGAAGGUUAUAAAGUGGCUGUGAAUGAGAACUCGGUCUGGGCUCUACCAAGCAGAGAAGCCAUGCAGAGAUGAGAAAGGUGAAAGCCAUGAAACCAUGUUAAGCAGAAAAAUAAAAAUUCAAAACAGAA
ensembl:lncRNA LINC02156 long intergenic non-protein coding RNA 2156